rnacentral:rRNA from 1 species
AUUGAACGCUGGCGGCAUGCUUUACACAUGCAAGUCGAACGGUAACAGGCCGCAAGGUGCUGACGAGUGGCGAACGGGUGAGUAAUGCAUCGGAACGUGCCCAGUCGUGGGGGAUAACGCAGCGAAAGCUGUGCUGAUACCGCAUACGAUCUAUGGAUGAAAGCGGGGGACCGUAAGGCCUCGCGCGAUUGGAGCGGCCGAUGUCAGAUUAGGUAGUUGGUGGGGUAAAGGCUCACCAAGCCAACGAUCUGUAGCUGGUCUGAGAGGACGACCAGCCACACUGGGACUGAGACACGGCCCAGACUCCUACGGGAGGCAGCAGUGGGGAAUUUUGGACAAUGGGCGCAAGCCUGAUCCAGCAAUGCCGCGUGCAGGAAGAAGGCCUUCGGGUUGUAAACUGCUUUUGUACGGAACGAAACGGCGAGCUCUAAUACAGUUUGCUAAUGACGGUACCGUAAGAAUAAGCACCGGCUAACUACGUGCCAGCCGCCGCUGUAA